AACGAACGCUGGCGGCGCGCCUAAUACAUGCAAGUCGAACGAGAAGGUGUAGCAAUACACUUGUAAAGUGGCGAACGGGUGAGGAAUGCAUGGGUAACCUACCCUCGAGUGGGGAAUAACCAGCCGAAAGGCUGGCUAAUACCGCGUACGCUUCCGGGUCUGUGGACCUGGAAGGAAAGUCACACCGUGGGUGUGACGCUCAAGGAUGGGCUCAUGUCCUAUCAGCUUGUUGGUAGGGUAACGGCCUACCAAGGCUUCGACGGGUAGCUGGUCUGAG
rnacentral:rRNA from 1 species